AUUGAACGCUGGCGGCAUGCCUUACACAUGCAAGUCGAACGGCAGCACGGGAGCAAUCCUGGUGGCGAGUGGCGAACGGGUGAGUAAUAUAUCGGAACGUGCCCAGUCGUGGGGAUAACGUAGCGAAAGCUACGCUAAUACCGCAUACGAUCUAUGGAUGAAAGCGGGGGAUCGCAAGACCUCGCGCGAUUGGAGCGGCCGAUAUCAGAUUAGGUAGUUGGUGAGGUAAAGGCUCACCAAGCCGACGAUCUGUAGCUGGUCUGAGAGGACGACCAGCCACACUGGGACUGAGACACGGCCCAGACUCCUACGGGAGGCAGCAGUGGGGAAUUUUGGGACAAUGGGCGCAAGCCUGAUCCAGCAAUGCCGCGUGCAGGAUGAAGGCCUUCGGUUGUAACU
rnacentral:rRNA from 1 species